UACGUAGGGUCCAAGCGUUAAUCGGAAUUAUUGGGCGUAAAGGGCUCGUAGGCGGUCUGUUGCGUCGGGAGUGAAAACUUACAGCUUAACUGUGAGCGUGCUUUCGAUACGGGCAGACUUGAGGCAUUCAGGGGAGAACGGAAUUCCUGGUGUAGCGGUGAAAUGCGCAGAUAUCAGGAGGAACACCGGUGGCGAAGGCGGCAUCCUGGACCGAUACUGACGCUGAGGAGCGAAAGCCAGGGGAGCAAACGGG
rnacentral:rRNA from 1 species